rnacentral:tRNA from 1 species
AGGAGCAUAGUAUAACGGCUAGUACUGCGGUCUCCAAAACCGUUAAUAUCGGUUCGAAUCCGAUUGCUCCUGCCA